rnacentral:lncRNA from 1 species
UAUGAUGAUCAUAAAAUAUAUUGGAGAGAAGACAACUAAUUCAACUUAUCUUUUAUUGUCUUCUUCCACAGGACUUCAGAUACAAGUAUAUGAAAGGGUGGAAAAAGACUUAAAAGUCAAGAAGAGUGAGAAAUGGAAAAAGAGCAACAGAUUGCCAUUGUCUAUGAUUCAGAACUCUCUUUGAAUUGGACAAGGAUAUGGACCAUAUCUGUGAGAAGAGGAUAAUGUAGAACAUUAGCUAUAUUUUAAAAAUGAGAUCUCUUUGAAGAAAU